rnacentral:lncRNA from 10 species
GUCUCACUUAGCCUGGGAGAUUCAGGUGAAGUUUGUGCACAGACUUGAAAGAAAUGCAGAAUUUCCUAGGCAGGAACUGUACUAGGAGAAGGAGACAGAAAGGUGGUGACAUACUUUUCCUUUCAUGGGGAAACAGUCUAAUGGAGAGAAGGACAAGUAAGAAACCACAAAGUGUAUUUUGGAAAAGAAAGUCCUCAGACCAAAACAAUAACAGCAACAACCAAAAACUGUUUUCGUUUGGAAGGAGGACCAGAAGGAAGGAAUAAGGGUCAGGCACUGACUCUACAGAUACUCAGACUCAAAGCUCACUGGAGAGCAGAAUGAGUAUUCCAAAAAUGGCCAUCAUAUGUCUGGACCCAUAUUCUCUUCUAGAACAUUGCCCCUACUCCAUCAAGAAGUUGAGUGUAUGUACUUCUCUCUGAACCUGGGUUGCCUCUCAUAUCUCCUCAUCAUAUAUACCUCUUCAAAUUCAAUCGAGAUUUCAAUUCUUCUCACUUCUCCCCAACCUUACUUUGAUCUCCUGGUAAUUUUAGAGUAAUUGAGAAUAUUUUCUAACAUACGUGUCAACAUAAUGAAGGAGCUGGGACCUAAAUGAAGAAGCGACAGAAUUUACAGUGGCUUUGAAUGCUGGUUCCUGAAUGGAUUUGCUUGACUGCAAUUCAAUCUUUUUUGUGGCUCAAGGCUCACUCACCUCUAAAAG